AAACUUUCAACAACGGAUCUCUUGGUUCUGGCAUCGAUGAAGAACGCAGCGAAAUGCGAUAAGKAAUGUGAAUUGCAGAAUCCAGUGAAUCAUCGAAUCUUUGAACGCACAUUGCGCCCCUUGGUAUUCCGAGGGGCAUGCCUGUUCGAGCGUCAUUA
rnacentral:rRNA from 1 species